GCCGGGUGUGGCAGCGUGCGCCUGUAGUUCCAGCUACUCGGAAGGCUGAGGCAGGAGAAUCACUUGAAUCCAGGAGGCGGAGGUUGCAGUGAGCUGAGAUCAUGCCACUGUAAUCUAGCCUGGGUGACAGAGUGAGACUCCGUCUCCA
rnacentral:SRP_RNA from 1 species